UUAAGCGAAUAAGCGUACACGGUGGAUGCCUAGGCAAUCAGAGGCGAUGAAGGACGUGCUAAUCUGCGAAAAGCGUCGGUAAGGUGAUAUGAACCGUUAUACCCGACGAUAUCCGAAUGGGGAAACCCAGUAUCCAAUGGAUACUAUCAUUAACUGAAUUCAUAGGUUAAUGAGGCGAACCGGGAGAACUGAAACAUCUCAGUACCCCGAGGAAAAGAAAUCAACCGAGAUUCCCCUAGUAGCGGCGAGCGAACGGGGAGCAGCCCAGAGUCUUAAUCAAUAACAGUGUCAGGAGAACGGUCUGGAAAGUCCGGCAGUAAAGGGUGAUAGCCCCGUAUCUGAAGAUGCUGUUAUUGUGAACUCGACGAGUAGGGCGGGACACGUGUUAUCCUGUCUGAAUAUGGGGGGACCAUCCUCCAAGGCUAAAUACUCCUGAUUGACCGAUAGUGAACCAGUACCGUGAGGGAAAGGCGAAAAGAACCCCGGCGAGGGGAGUGAAAAAGAACCUGAAACCGUGUACGUACAAGCAGUAGGAGCCUCUUUAUGGGGUGACUGCGUACCUUUUGUAUAAUGGGUCAGCGACUUAUAUUCUGUAGCAAGGUUAACCGUAUAGGGGAGCCGUAGGGAAACCGAGUCUUAACUGGGCGAAUGAGUUGCAGGGUAUAGACCCGAAACCCGGUGAUCUAUCCAUGGGCAGGUUGAAGGUUGGGUAACACUAACUGGAGGACCGAACCGACUAAUGUUGAAAAAUUAGCGGAUGACUUGUGGAUGGGGGUGAAAGGCCAAUCAAACCGGGAGAUAGCUGGUUCUCCCCGAAAGCUAUUUAGGUAGCGCCUCGUGAACUCAUCUUCGGGGGUAGAGCACUGUUUCGACUAGGGGGUCAUCCCGACUUACCAACUCGAUGCAAACUGCGAAUACCGAAGAAUGUUAUCACGGGAGACACACGGCGGGUGCUAACGUCCGUCGUGAAGAGGGAAACAACCCAGACCGCCAGCUAAGGUCCCAAAGUCAUGGUUAAGUGGGAAACGAAGUGGGAAGGCUCAGACAGCCAGGAUGUUGGCUUAGAAGCAGCCAUCAUUUAAAGAAAGCGUAAUAGCUCACUGGUCGAGUCGGCCCGCGCGGAAGAUGUAACGGGGCUAAACCAUGCACCGAAGCUGCGGCAGCGACACAAAGUGUUGUUGGGUAGGGGAGCGUUCUGUAAGCCUGCGAAGGUGUACUGUGAGGUAUGCUGGAGGUAUCAGAAGUGCGAAUGCUGACAUAAGUAACGAUAAUGCGGGUGAAAAACCCGCACGCCGGAAGACCAAGGGUUCCUGUCCAACGUUAAUCGGGGCAGGGUGAGUCGACCCCUAAGGCGAGGCUGAAAAGCGUAGUCGAUGGGAAACGGGUUAAUAUUCCCGUACUGGUGGUAACUGCGAUGGGGGAACGGAGAAGGCUAGGUUGUCCGGGCGACGGUCGUCCCGGUUCAAGCAGGUAGGCAGAGUGAUUAGGCAAAUCCGGUCACUUAAUGCUGAGAUGUGAUGACGAACCACCAAGGUGGUGAAGCAAUUGAUGCCCUGCUUCCAGGAAAAGCCUCUAAGCUUCAGGUUACCAACAAUCGUACCCCAAACCGACACAGGUGGUCAGGUAGAGAAUACUCAGGCGCUUGAGAGAACUCGGGUGAAGGAACUAGGCAAAAUGGUGCCGUAACUUCGGGAGAAGGCACGCUGGCGGUAGGUAAAGUCCCUCGCGGACAGAGCUGAAGCCAGUCGAAGAUACCAGCUGGCUGCAACUGUUUAUUAAAAACACAGCACUGUGCAAACACGAAAGUGGACGUAUACGGUGUGACGCCUGCCCGGUGCUGGAAGGUUAAUUGAUGGGGUUAGCGCAAGCGAAGCUCCUGAUCGAAGCCCCAGUAAACGGCGGCCGUAACUAUAACGGUCCUAAGGUAGCGAAAUUCCUUGUCGGGUAAGUUCCGACCUGCACGAAUGGCGUAAUGAUGGCCAGGCUGUCUCCACCCGAGACUCAGUGAAAUUGAACUCGCUGUGAAGAUGCAGUGUACCCGCGGCAAGACGGAAAGACCCCGUGAACCUUUACUAUAGCUUGACACUGAACAUUGAGCCUUGAUGUGUAGGAUAGGUGGGAGGCUUUGAAGUGUGGACGCCAGUCUGCAUGGAGCCAACCUUGAAAUACCACCCUUUAACGUUUGAUGUUCUAACCUAGGCCCAUAAACUGGGUCGGGGACCGUGUCUGGUGGGUAGUUUGACUGGGGCGGUCUCCUCCUAAAGAGUAACGGAGGAGCACGAAGGUUGGCUAAGCAUGGUCGGACAUCAUGCGGUUAGUGCAAAGGCAUAAGCCAGCUUGACUGCGAGAGUGACGGCUCGAGCAGGUACGAAAGUAGGUCUUAGUGAUCCGGUGGUUCUGAAUGGAAGGGCCAUCGCUCAACGGAUAAAAGGUACUCCGGGGAUAACAGGCUGAUACCGCCCAAGAGUUCAUAUCGACGGCGGUGUUUGGCACCUCGAUGUCGGCUCAUCACAUCCUGGGGCUGAAGUAGGUCCCAAGGGUAUGGCUGUUCGCCAUUUAAAGUGGUACGCGAGCUGGGUUUAGAACGUCGUGAGACAGUUCGGUCCCUAUCUGCCGUGGGCGUUGGAAGAUUGAGAGGGGUUGCUCCUAGUACGAGAGGACCGGAGUGAACGCACCACUGGUGUUCGGGUUGUCAUGCCAAUGGCAUUGCCCGGUAGCUAAGUGCGGAAGAGAUAACCGCUGAAAGCAUCUAAGCGGGAAACUUGCCUCGAGAUGAGUCUUCCCUGUCGCUUUAAGCGACCUAAAGGAACGUUUAAGACUAAGACGUUGAUAGGCUGGGUGUGUAAGCGUAGCGAUACGUUGAGCUAACCAGUACUAAUGAACCGUGAGGCUUAACCUG
rnacentral:rRNA from 1 species